rnacentral:rRNA from 1 species
GUUGUAUGGUUAAGUGACUAAGCGUACACGGUGGAUGCCUUGGCAGUCAGAGGCGAUGAAAGGCGUAAUAACUUGCGAUAAGCCCAGAUUAGGUAGUAAUAACCUUUUGAGUCUGGGAUUCCUGAAUGGGGAAACCCACUUGCAUAAGCAAGUAUCCUGUUGUGAAUACAUAGCAACAGGAGGCAAACCGGGGGAACUGAAACAUCUAAGUACCCCGAGGAAGAGAAAUCAACCGAGAUUCCGAAAGUA